ensembl:lncRNA
CAAGACUGAAUGAGGAAACUAUGAAAGAGAACAGAAUAGUGAAGAGAGCGUGACCAUAAAAAGAAGUGAGAAAUCAGAGCUGGUUAACCCAUCUGUAGUGUUAUUCAACUCCUUUGUGCUAUGAGGACUCAUGGGAUGUAGAAACACUGGACCACAGACUGAAUGAGCAAAAACUCCCAGGAUCUGCGGUGCAUGACAGAAUCCAACUUAUAGGUUCUCCAUCUUUCUGGGUCACACAAUAUUUACUUAGUACCAUCUUGGAUGUCUUUGAGCUGGCCAGAUAGAUAGAAUUUUUUCCACUGGCUUCCAAUAUCAAGUAUUCAACACAGAUGCAGGAAGAAGUUAGGUAUGUCCCUAAGGAAAAAAUAAAAUCAGACAGGAGGAUAAUUGGUAGUCUUUGGCCAAAAGAUUUAGGAAAGAAGCAGCCGUUUAAGAAAUCAUGAUCAGAAGCCGCCACCAUAACUAGAAGAAAGGGCAUGUUUUUAUGACUAUUAUAAAUGGAUGUCAAGCUUAUUUAUGCAGUUGUACAGUUCUGAAGGUCAUUCUCUUCAAAAGUGGAGUUGUAAUCUUGCAUAAUUUGGUUUCUUUGUGCAAUAUCAAUAUCUGCUAGUCAUGUUUGUAUGUUUAUGAUUGUUAUAAUGAUGUAUUACGAUGUUAUUAUCAUGUUAUUAUGAUGUUAUUGCCCUGUGGAGAAGGACUUGGGUGUGCUGGUGGAUGAAAAACUGAAAAUGAGUCACUAAUAUGUGCUUGCAGACCAGAGAGCCAGUCAUAUACUGGGCUGCCUAAAAGUAAGUGUAAUCAGAAGGUGGUAGGAGGUGAUUUUUCACUCUCAUGAGACACCACCUGGAAUACUGCAUUCAGCUCUGGGGCCCUAGUAUAAGACGCACACAGAGCUGUUGGAGAGGGUCCAGAGGACCAUGUCAAUGCUAAGAGGGAUGGAGCACUCCUCCCACAAAGAAUAGCUAAUGGGUUUGUUCCAGCUGAAGAAGAGAAGGCUAUGGGGAGACCUCCUUGUGGCCCUCCAAUACUGAAAGAUGCUAACUCCAAAGACAUGGUACAGGUGCUUCCACCACCUGUCUCUGGACAUCUCAAGUCCCUGUUGAGCAUGCACCAUCCCCGCUGCACCUUAUGGGAGACAUCCGUGAAGUGUGUUUGAAAAAAAAACUGCUAGCAAGAUCAUCAUGAGUACAUGUAAUUUCAGGAAUUAAAUGGACCAGGCAAGGCUAUGAAAGCACUUCAGUCCAGAUCCUCAUGUUACUGUCUGUGUACUUGGGUUGAUUGCUCAAGAGUUUCAAUAAAAUCAUGUUAAAUACUAACGAGGUUGGC